UACAGAGGGGGCAAGCGUUGUUCGGAAUUACUGGGCGUAAAGGGCGCGUAGGCGGCCUUCUAAGUCGAACGUGAAAUCCCCGGGCUCAACCCGGGAACUGCGUCCGAUACUGGAAGGCUUGAAUCCGGGAGAGGGAUGCGGAAUUCCAGGUGUAGCGGUGAAAUGCGUAGAUAUCUGGAGGAACACCGGUGGCGAAGGCGGCAUCCUGGGCCGGCAUUGACGCUGAGGCGCGAAAGCCAGGGGAGCAAACGGG
rnacentral:rRNA from 1 species